AGAGUUUGAUCAUGGCUCAGAAUCAACGCUGGCGGCGUGCCUAACACAUGCAAGUCGAACGCGAAAGUCCCGCAAGGGAUCGGUAGAGUGGCAAACGGGUGAGUAACACGUGGGUGACCUGCCUUCGAGUGGGGGAUAACGUCCCGAAAGGGACGCUAAUACCGCAUGACAUCCUGCCUUUGAACAGGUGGAGAUCAAAGCUGGGGAUCGCAAGACCUAGCGCUUGAAGAGGGGCCCGCGCCUGAUUAGCUAGUUGGUGAGGUAACGGCUCACCAAGGCAACGAUCAGUAUCCGGCCUGAGAGGGCGGACGGACACACUGGGACUGAGACACGGCCCAGACUCCUACGGGAGGCAGCAGUGGGGAAUUGUUCGCAAUGGGCGCAAGCCUGACGACGCAACGCCGCGUGGAGGAUGAAGACCUUCGGGUCGUAAACUCCUUUCGAUCGAGACGAACGGCUUCCGGGCGAAUAUCCCGGGAGAUUGACGGUACCGAGAGAAGAAGCCCCGGCUAACUCCGUGCCAGCAGCCGCGGUAAUACGGGGGGGGCAAGCGUUGUUCGGAAUUACUGGGCGUAAAGGGCUCGUAGGCGGCCAACUAAGUCAGACGUGAAAUCCCUCGGCUUAACCGGGGAACUGCGUCUGAUACUGGAUGGCUUGAGGUUGGGAGAGGGAUGCGGAAUUCCAGGUGUAGCGGUGAAAUGCGUAGAUAUCUGGAGGAACACCGGUGGCGAAGGCGGCAUCCUGGACCAAAUCUGACGCUGAGGAGCGAAAGCCAGGGGAGCAAACGGGAUUAGAUACCCUAGUAGUCC
rnacentral:rRNA from 1 species